UUAGUGUUGUGAACUCGACGAGUAGGGCGGGACACGUGUUAUCCUGUCUGAAUAUGGGGGGACCAUCCUCCAAGGCUAAAUACUCCUGAUUGACCGAUAGUGAACCAGUACCGUGAGGGAAAGGCGAAAAGAACCCCGGCGAGGGGAGUGAAAUAGAACCUGAAACCGUGUACGUACAAGCAGUGGGAGCCUUGAUUUAUCAGGGUGACUGCGUACCUUUUGUAUAAUGGGUCAGCGACUUAUAUUCUGUAGCAAGGUUAACCGUAUAGGGGAGCCGUAGGGAAACCGAGUCUUAACUGGGCGAAUGAGUUGCAGGGUAUAGACCCGAAACCCGGUGAUCUAGCCAUGGGCAGGUUGAAGGUUGGGUAACACUAACUGGAGGACCGAACCGACUAAUGUUGAAAAAUUAGCGGAUGACUUGUGGCUGGGGGUGAAAGGCCAAUCAAACCGGGAGAUAGCUGGUUCUCCCCGAAAGCUAUUUAGGUAGCGCCUCGUGAACUCAUCUUCGGGGGUAGAGCACUGUUUCGACUAGGGGGUCAUCCCGACUUACCAACUCGAUGCAAACUACGAAUACCGAAGAAUGUUAUCACGGGAGACACACGGCGGGUGCUAACGUUCGUCGUGAAGAGGGAAACAACCCAGACCGCCAGCUAAGGUCCCAAAGUCAUAGUUAAGUGGGAAACGAAGUGGGAAGGCUCAGACAGCCAGGAUGUUGGCUUAGAAGCAGCCAUCAUUUAAAGAAAGCGUAAUAGCUCACUGGUCGAGUCGGCCUGCGCGGAAGAUGUAACGGGGCUAAACUAUGCACCGAAGCUGCGGCAGCGAUAUGUAAAUAUUGUUGGGUAGGGGAGCGUUCUGUAAGCCUGUGAAGGUGUACUGUGAGGUAUGCUGGAGGUAUCAGAAGUGCGAAUGCUGACAUAAGUAACGAUAAUGCGGGUGAAAAACCCGCACGCCGGAAGACCAAGGGUUCCUGUCCAACGUUAAUCGGGGCAGGGUGAGUCGACCCCUAAGGCGAGGCAGAAAUGCGUAGUCGAUGGGAAACGGGUUAAUAUUCCCGUACUGGUGAUAAUUGCGAUGGGGGGACGGAGAAGGCUAGGCUGGCCGGGCGACGGUUGUCCCGGUUUAAGGAUGUAGGCAGGUGAA
rnacentral:rRNA from 1 species